ACACUGCUCAUAUGGACCGGUAAGUCCUUCAAUCAUAUGGACCGGUCCAUUCUAGAUUCCAACAAUACCUUCAAAUCAACACUGCUCAUAAUCUUAAACCUUUGGUUCUUCUCAAAUUGACCGGUAAGUCCUUCAAUCGUUUUGAAUUCACACACAGAUGUUGUACCAUCUGAACAUCAAAAGUGGUAUCCUUCUCCAUUUGGUGUAAAUGUUGAUGAAUUCGGUGAUAUCUACGCGAGAGUGGUCUGGUUUUCAACCGACUCGAACUGUUUAUUUGUUUUUUGUACCUGAUGAAAAGAUUGGUGGUCAUGAUGGUGCAGAGAAGUGCGCCGAAUCGGAGAAAUUCAAGAAGAUGACUGUUGGAAUCGUCCUCUACAACAUUGGUCAAGAAAUCUUAAGAAGGGAUCCAAAUUACACAGCAAACUCACCUUCUCAAGCACACAUUACCGCACAACAAUUACUUGAGAAAAGUUUAAAACUGAAGGAAUUUGUUAAUGCUUAAAUGGGUAUGUCAUAUUUGACAUCUAAGUAACUGGAGUUUCUUUUGAAUUCUUAGGACCAUAGGUCUAUGGAGAGAUUUAUAGCUUAUGCGCUGUGUUCCGCGGAUGAAAGAUCUAAGAGAUGCUAACUGACUGCCUACUGAACUCAGAGAAGAAAGAAAGGACGGGAGUUUCUAUUGUAGCAGGCACUGGAUGCAUAAGUGACAUUUUGUAUGCAGCAAAAAUGAUCUGUGAGAAGCGACUGCGCCAGCUUAGUCCAUUUUUCAUCCCUCAGAUACCGAUCAACAUCGCAGCAGGUCAUGUUAGCAUGAGAUAUGGAUGCAAGGUGCUUGGAUUAAAUCUUCCAAUUCCCGUUCUUUAUGGGUACGAAGUAGCCUGGUGUACAAUCUAGUGCACUAGCGUAUUUCCUACAAGAAGUGGCCUAUUUAUGGGCCCGAUACUUGAUUUCAUGCAUAUUUUUUAGGUGUGUACAUGCUUGUGCACCGAUUUAUUUUCCAUGCACAAAGUAGUUCCGAAAGAAUGACUUCAUGCAUGUUUUAUAGGUGUGUACAAACUAGUACACAUGUGAAAAUAAUGACUAUAUAAGCUUAUGCCUGCAUAAAUAACUAGUGUAUACAAACUAGUACACAUGUGAAGUUUGUGACUCCAUAAGCUUAUAUAUG